GUUGCAUUUGAUGGACCCUUGGGUUUUCGUUACAGAUUCAUUGCAUGAUCCGCAAAUAGAAAGAACAGCAAGAAGAAAAAUCAGCAGCAACAACAAUGUCUCGUUCUCAACAAAACGAAAAAAGGCCAAUAUACAUUGCUUUAUAAUGAAAACGUUGAUAUUUUUUAGAUUUCCCGACACAGAAUUAGUCUUUGAACAAGAUGACAAUACGAAAUAUUGGCAAACAGUCGAUAUUUAAGCGUAAAAAACAAA
rnacentral:sRNA from 1 species